AUUAGGGGACUGUUGCGGAUCGCUGUUGGAUGUGCGCGUCUGUGCGGCGUGAGCUACGCCGGGGAAGUGUUAAGGUGCUUACUUGGUGUGGCAGUUUCCGCAUGCUCCAGCGCAUUUGCCAUGUUUAACUGUAAUGUUUAUGUGCUUGCUUUAACAUUACUGAACUAUAUAUUUUCUUCUAUGCGACGCUUGUGCCUGCUCGUGAGGGGCUGCUGACGGAACCGUGCACGAUGAAAUCUGCUUCAAGAUACCAAAUACCGAGAGAGCAUCUCAAAAUCGCAUCUAAUCUACAUGUAUCUUCGAUUGCACAUGCCUCAUAGAAGGCCAGUUUAGCUGAGCUCGCCCACUCCUAAAUAUCCGAUGUGCCUUGGGGGAGCUUCGGAAAUCUACGGCCACCGUUGAAGCACCUGGUGUUUCUUGGAACACAGCCCCAUUUCUCAUCCGUCUCCGAGACCUCGGAGCCGACCACCUCUGCAACAAAUCAACCCUUCUUCCACAGCACAUCGCAUGUUUAAAGGAGUAGUAUGCAAAACGUGCUACGCCGCCUCGAAGCCACGCUACCAGAACCGCUUCUAAAGGAUGAGCAGGCGAACAUUGGGAAUGCAGCGCCGAACGAAAAAGCUCGUUUGUGUCCGUAUCCAUGUUUUAUGGUUAGCGAGUUCGAUUAAGCCAUGCUCCGUAGCGUCGUUUUUCUCUGCAGUGGGUUUCCUGCAUUGGUUUAUACAAUAUACGUAGCCAUGCAUCGUUUUCUGUAAUGUAGAAAUUGUAACGAAACUCCACUGGACCGUGCAACGUUCUAAAGCGAACGGAACACUGCGUCGAAUUGCCGAAGCGCUGAACGUAGAUCCUUACAAGCGCGCUGUACAAUCAUUUAUCUACGCUUAGCUUCUCUGGUGUUUUUGUAAGGCAAGUAAUGAGCUUGCCUUACUGUUUCUUUCAAUAUGCAUAUUUCCCACGAAAGUGGCUACCGUGACAUAUUUCUUCAGUUUAACGAGCAUACAUAUACUGUUUCUU
rnacentral:lncRNA from 1 species